UACCAGCACCCCGAGUGGUCGGGACGAUUAUUGGGCCUAAAGCAUCCGUAGCCGGCCUUACAAGUCCUCCGUUAAAUCCAGCUGCUUAACAGAUGGGCUGCGGAGGAUACUAUAAGACUAGGAGGCAGGAGAGGCAAGCGGUACUCAGUGGGUAGGGGUAAAAUCCGUUGAUCCAUUGAAGACCACCAGUGGCGAAGGCGACUUCUUGGCCUGUUCUUGACGCUGAGGCGCGAAAGCUAGGGGAGCAAACGGG
rnacentral:rRNA from 1 species